rnacentral:lncRNA from 1 species
ACCAGCUUGGUUUCAAAAAAUUAAGUGAAUUUUUCUAAUUUAUCAUAUAAGGGUAUUAUAUUUUGAAUAAUAUCUAUUUAUAAAAUCUUGGUAGGAUCUUGAUUUUAACUACCUUGACUAUCACAAUAAAGCUUUAUAGGCUUGUUCCAUCUUCAUAUCUUCUAAAAUAUGUUUUAGCCAGAGUAGUUCACAAAUAACUUGUGACAUGGCCCAAUACCAGCUUUAGCACUAGAAGGAGCCACCACAUUUUUUCCUUUUACUUUUCCAAGUUACUCAAUUUCCUCUAGGAAAGGUACAAUACCCAAUUAAAGACCUCCUGUUGGUAACUAACCCUGCAUAGUCACAUUGGCAGUAUAAGACUCAAUAAUUGCAUUCCAGUAUAUUUUUAUAUGAAAUUAUUUUUCCUAAUUUUUUCCCUUAGGUAUUGUAGAAUUCUAUAAGCCGCUUGAAAUGAACUAAUCUUGGACUGUGUUCAUGAUUAACCAAACUUAAAGUGAAUGCAAUUUCAGGAGUAAUUUAGUUAUCGCUGUUUCUUCCUAUGCGUUGAACCUAUUCUACUUGAUCUUCAAAGAAUUUAGGCCACCUGGAAAGUGGAAAAUCAAUAUGAUUUUAUUUCCAACUGUUACUAAAAUUUAUGGUGUUUGAUAAAUUUAUGAUAUAUUUAUUCCAUUGUUUUUAUCUUAUCCAUGC